rnacentral:rRNA from 1 species
AAUGGCUGCAGUAAUUUGACUGUACAAAGGUAGCAUAAUCAUUAGUUUUUUAAUUAAAAGCUUGAAUGAAAGGUUGGACGAAGUAAUAUCUGUCUCUUUUUAAUAUAAUUAGAAUUUAAUUUUUAAGUUAAAAAGCUUAAAUUUUUGUAAAAGACGAGAAGACCCUAUAGAGUUUAAUAAUUUUUUAAAAGUGAUUAUUUAGGUUUAUUAUUUUUAUUUUUUAAAAUAUUAUUUUAUUGGGGUAAUAAUAAGAUUCAAAUAAUUCUUUUUUUUUAACCAUUAAUUUAUGAAAUAUAUGAUCCAUUUUUUAUGAUUAUAAG